ACGAGUCAUUUUCAACCAAAAGGACAUUCUGAGAUGUGGCUAAAGAUGGUCAGACAGUCAACUACAUUACAUUUAAACAAUACGUAUGUUUUCAGGUGUCUGUCUUAUAUCUGAGCACUAUAAGAAAGCUCAGGAUUUAGUUAUAAUAGUUUAACUGUGGAAUGACCCUUUGGCGUAGAAAUAGUUCCCUUCAGACAGUCAGGUCAGGGUUACCUUCAGACAGUCAGGUCUGAGUUACCUUCAGACAGUCAGGUCUGGGUUCCCUUCAGACAGUCAGUACUGAGUUCCCUUCAGACAGUCAGGUCUGGGUUCCCUUCAGACAGUCAGGUCUGGGUUCCCUUCAGACAGUCAGGUCUGGGUUCCCUUCAGACAGUCAGUACUGAGUUCCCUUCAGACAGUCAGGUCUGGGUUCCCUUCAGACAGUCAGGUCUGGGUUCCCUUCAGACAGUCAGUACUGAGUUCCCUUCAGACAGUCAGUACUGAGUUCCCUUCAGACAGUCAGGUCUGGGUUCCCUUCAGACAGUCAGUACUGAGUUCCCUUCAGACAGUCAGUACUGGGUUCCCUUCAGACAGUCAGGUCUGGGUUCCCUUCAGACAGUCAGUACUGGGUUACCUUCAGACAGUCAGUACUGAGUUCCCUUCAGACAGUCAGUACUGGGUUCCCUUCAGACAGUCAGGUCUGGGUUCCCUUCAGACAGUCAGGUCUGGGUUCCCUUCAGACAGUCAGUACUGAGUUACCUUCAGACAGUCAGGUCUGGGUUCCCUUCAGACAGUCAGUACUGGGUUCCCUUCAGACAGUCAGGUCUGGGUUCCCUUCAGACAGUCAGUACUGGGUUCCCUUCAGACAGUCAGGUCUGGGUUCCCUUCAGACAGUCAGGUCUGAGUUACCUUCAGACAGUCAGUACUGAGUUCCCUUCAGACAGUCAGGUCUGGUUCCCUUCAGACAGUCAGUACUGAGUUACCUUCAGACAGUCAGGUCUGGGUUCCCUUCAGACAGUCAGGUCUGGGUUACCUUCAGACAGUCAGGUCUGGGUUCCCUUCAGACAGUCAGGUCUGGGUUCCCUUCAGACAGUCAGGUCUGGGUUCCCUUCAGACAGUCAGGUCUGGGUUCCCUUCAGACAGUCAGGUCUGAGUUCCCUUCAGACAGUCAGGUCUGGGUUCCCUUCAGACAGUCAGGUCUGGGUUCCCUUCAGACAGUCAGGUCUGGGUUCCCUUCAGACAGUCAGGUCUGGGUUCCCUUCAGACAGUCAGUACUGAGUUACCUUCAGACAGUCAGUACUGAGUUCCCUUCAGACAGUCAGGUCUGGGUUCCCUUCAGACAGUCAGGUCUGGGUUCCCUUCAGACAGUCAGGUCUGGGUUCCCUUCAGACAGUCAGGUCUGGGUUACCUUCAGACAGUCAGGUCUGGGUUCCCUUCAGACAGUCAGUACUGGGUUCCCUUCAGACAGUCAGGUCUGGGUUCCCUUCAGACAGUCAGGUCUGGGUUCCCUUUCAUUCAGUCAGGUCUGGGUUCCCUUCAGACAGUCUUGUGGGCGUGGUAGAUCAAAACAAAACUUUUUAGACUCUGGAGACAUUUUCCUGAGAAGACAGAUUUUCGGGAUGUCACAUAAUUUUCUGACAAACCCACCUGCUACGCAAAAGUCAAUUAUGGUCAAUUCUGACAUAAACUGCAUCCCAUCUACAAAACCCAAAAUCAGCGCCAAAAUCCGCGGAUGAGGUAUAUUGAGACGCAACCCAGAUAUCGUUAGUUUAAUUAAGAGUUUAUUUCAAAAUAGUUCUACUAAACUAACAUAUGGAAUUGUUUUAAGAUGGUCAUACCAAGAAAGAUUUAGCUUUUUGAUUUAGUCGACAACAAAAAAUGCAUCAAAAUGAAGUUUGUUUUAAAGUGUCUGUCCUAUAUCUGAGAGGUAUAAGAAAGAUCGGGAUUGUAUUUUAAUAUUUGUACCAAAAUUUAACAACAAAAAAAAUGUCAC